rnacentral:rRNA from 2 species
UGCAAGUCGAGCGGAUGACGGGAGCUUGCUCCUUGAUUCAGCGGCGGACGGGUGAGUAAUACCUAGGAAUCUGCCUGAUAGUGGGGGACAACGUUUCGAAAGGAACGCUAAUACCGCAUACGUCCUACGGGAGAAAGCAGGGGACCUUCGGGCCUUGCGCUAUCAGAUGAGCCUAGGUCGGAUUAGCUAGUUGGUGAGGUAAUGGCUCACCAAGGCGACGAUCCGUAACUGGUCUGAGAGGAUGAUCAGUCACACUGGAACUGAGACACGGUCCAGACUCCUACGGGAGGCAGCAGUGGGGAAUAUUGGACAAUGGGCGAAAGCCUGAUCCAGCCAUGCCGCGUGUGUGAAGAAGGUCUUCGGAUUGUAAAGCACUUUAAGUUGGGAGGAAGGGCAGUAAGCUAAUACCUUGCUGUUUUGACGUUACCGACAGAAUAAGCACCGGCUAACUCUGUGCCA